rnacentral:rRNA from 1 species
GUGAUUCGGGGUGCACCAGGCGCGAAAACUCUGCAAUGCACGCAAGUGUGACAGGGGGAUCCCAAGUGCUUAAGCACUGCUUAGGCUUUUGCUUAGUGUAAAUAGCUAGGCGAAUAAGUGGUGGGCAAGACUGGUGCCAGCCGCCGCGGUAACACCAGCGCCACGAGUGGCACUCGCGUUUAUUGGGCCUAAAGCGUCCGUAGCAGGUUUGCUGAAUUUCUUGUGAAAUUGCCAGGCUCAACUUGGCAGUGUGCAGGGAACACUGGCAGACUAGGGACCGGGAAGGGUCAGAGGUAUUCCUGAGGGAGCGGUAAAAUGCUAUAAUCUCAGGAGGACCACCUGUGGCGAAGGCGUCUGACUAGAACGGAUCCGACUGUGAGGGACGAAAGCCAGGGGAGCAAACCGGAUUAGAUACCCGAGUAGUCCUGGCCGUAAACGCUGUGAGCUAGGUGUCGCGUACUCUACGAGAAUGCGCGGUGUCGAAAGGAAGCUGUUAAGCUCACCGCCUGGGAAGUACGGUCGCAAGACUGAAACUUUAAGGAAUUGGCGGGGGAGCACAAUCGAAU